rnacentral:lncRNA from 1 species
GAACAGGAAAUGCUGAUGGUGAAGGCGAAAGACAAGUAACUACAGGAACAAAGCCCUUUCGCUGGAGAGAGAAGUGAAGUCCAGCAUUUCAGCAAUUCAGUUCAUGCGCCAUCAAGAGAGGAGUGGCAAUGGCUGGAACAUGGAGGGCAGAAGAUGGGCUGGUAGGUGUGUGAAGAUUCUUUUUCAGUCACAUCUAUUUUCUCUGUAAAGAGAGUACCAAGAUCAUCUGCUGGAAGUAGGAAGAAGAUUUGGAGGAUUAGGGAAACAAUCUGUAAUAGUUAAGGUUUUAUUUGUCUAUGAGUAACACAGAUGCUCAAAACAACAGAGGCUUAGCUCAGCUAGAAGUUUGAAAACAGCCUAUCUAGUGUGGCUGUGGGAACCCUAGGAGGUGAGGUUCUAGGGAUGUCCUAGGUCUGCUUUCUAUUGUUGUGAUAAACACCAUGACAAAAGCCUGUGGAGGAGAGAGCUUAUUUCAUUUGUACAGUUCAUAGUCCAAUUCGAAGAGAAGUCAGUGGUCAUGUCCACACUCUAAGCUGUGCGAUGUGGGUUAUGAAUGAGACAAAAAGCAAAGUUAGAGCCAGAGAUGGUGACACACACUUCUAAUCUCAGCACUUGGGAAGCAGAUCUCUGAGUCUGAGGCCAGCCUGGACUCUAGAAUGAGUUUCAGGACAGCCAAAGCUACACAAAGCUAACCUGUCUCAAAAAGCCAAAAUAAAAUAAAGUGAAGUUAGGUUCAUGGCAUCUGAUAAGAUUCAGCUUUGAAAAGAUUUGGGGGGAAGACAGGUCAUCAUUUCUACAUGAUGCUGACCUUGAACUCAGAGAUCUGCUUGCCUCAGUCUCCUGGGAUUAAAGGCGUGUACUCCCUUCCCUGGGCCUAAGCUUUUCAUGGCCACGGUGCUUCAAGAUCUUCAUGUCAGAAUCCAGGACAGAAGCCCUGUAUCUUCCAGCCUCAAGAUCUGGAUCACAGGUGAGCCUUCCAUUUCUGGAUUGUAGUUCAUUCCAGAUGUGAUCAUGUUGACAACCAGGAACAGCUGUCACAGGCUCCAACCAAAUAACUUGACAAAACAAUACGGUGUGUUCAUCUAGAAAACAAACCGUGUGAAGUAGCCAGAAGGGGUGAGAGAGGGGACGAAGCAUCACGAAUAGAAAGUUGCAUUGCAAAGCAUUGUCAGAAGUGAGUGUAUGUGUUAUGAAGCUGAAGAAAUUAAAUAUUUAGGAGUUAGAGGAAGAACAGAAAAACAGAGUCCAAAAAUAAACUCAAAUGUGUGGGGAUAUUGAACAGGCUAGAAGUGGCAUUUCAGUGAAGUUAUGGUGGACUGUUUGAAAAAUGAAUUGGGCUCCUGGUUAGGUACUUUGGUGGAAGUGGGGAAGAAGAACACAGAUUUCUGUCCGGAUUCGGUGGGCCUUCCUAUGUAGUCUAUCUACAUGAUGGUGAUAAAUGGCCCGUACAUCUCCAGUUAUCUUCUUUGUGAGCACUUCCUGUCAUCUUUUGUGAAUAAAUUUCUAAACUUGGAAUUCUCAGCUCAAAACUCAAUAAACAUUUUGAAAUGUGAUAUAAAUUGCCACCUAGAAAUGUCUCAACUUGAUUUUUUUUAUAUUCAAAAUAUAGACAUAGGGAAGAACUUUUUAAAAAAGAUUUAUUUAUUUAUUUUGUGUAUAUCAGAACACUGUAGUUGUCUUCAGAUGCACCAGAAGAGAGCAUUGGAUCCCAUUACAGGUGGUUGUGACCCACCAUGGAGUUGCUGGGAAUUGAACUCAGGACCUCUGGAAGGGCAACCAGUGCUCUUAACCCCUGAGCCAUCUCUCCAGCCCUGCAAGCUCUUUCUUAAAGUGACAUCAAUAGCACAUACAAUAAUCAUAAGAAUUGAUUAAUGGGAUUGCAUAAAAAUGAAAACACUUUUGCACUACAAAUGAAACAAUCAGCAGAGUGAAGAGACAGCUAUCGAACAGGAAAAACUCUAUCUGCCAACUACACACCGGAAGAGCAGCAUCUAGAUGUAUAAAAAACUGCAGAAAUUAAACAACAACAAAAUCAUCUCAUUGACAAAUAGACCA